rnacentral:rRNA from 1 species
ACACAUGCAAGUCGAGGGGCAGCAUGAACUUAGCUUGCUAAGUUUGAUGGCGACCGGCGCACGGGUGAGUAACACGUAUCCAACCUGCCGAUGACUCGGGGAUAGCCUUUCGAAAGAAAGAUUAAUACCCGAUGGCAUAGUUCUUCCGCAUGGUAGAACUAUUAAAGAAUUUCGGUCAUCGAUGGGGAUGCGUUCCAUUAGGUUGUUGGCGGGGUAACGGCCCACCAAGCCUUCGAUGGAUAGGGGUUCUGAGAGGAAGGUCCCCCACAUUGGAACUGAGACACGGUCCAAACUCCUACGGGAGGCAGCAGUGAGGAAUAUUGGUCAAUGGACGAGAGUCUGAACCAGCCAAGUAGCGUGAAGGAUGACUGCCCUAUGGGUUGUAAACUUCUUUUAUACGGGAAUAAAGUGAGGCACGUGUGCCUUUUUGUAUGUACCGUAUGAAUAAGGAUCGGCUAACUCCGUGCCAGCAGCCGCGGUAAUACGGAGGAUCCGAGCGUUAUCCGGAUU